ACAAAAAUAUAGGAGGGGUUAAGUUUUUCCUUUGAUUCAAAGAUUUUAUUUUUAAAAUACCAUUUUAUCAACAUCCUGCUAUAGAUAUUUCAAGAGACAACAGAAAAAGUAGUAGUAACAAAAACUCUUGUGGCCAAAUCAUCCUCCUAUCUGGGCUGGCUGCUGGGCAGACCCUGCUGGGGUUUCGUUCACCUGUGUGCAGAUAACUUCAUUUCUAGGACGGAUUUUUAGGUUUUGUAUGUGAAACUCUUAAGAGCAACAUGAUGUUUGUAGUAGCUGUUAGUGUGGGUAAAGUCACCUGCUCACCUAAGGCUGUGGAGGUCUCAGAAUUGACUACAAUGAUAAAUUAAUAUUACUUGUGGAUGAUUUUAGACCUUUUAAAGUUAGGUAUAAAAUACAGUAAUGCAAAGUAAAAGUUCAAAUGUGUAACAAACACUUCCAUUAAAAAAAUGGAUAAAGCAAAACACAUAAACUUCUGUUACAAAUAGUAGGGAAGGGGUUGGGAUUUAGCUCAGUGGUAGAGCGCUUGCCUAGCAGGCGCAAGGCCCUGGGUUUGGUCCUCAGCUCUGGGGUGUGGUGGGGUGAG
rnacentral:lncRNA from 1 species